UAAAUAAGACUUUGUUCUUAACUGACUUGCCUAGUUAAAUAAAUACGAUUGCGCGAACAAACACUUGAGUUGCGAGAGAAGAAAUGUUGUCGAGCGAGCAGAGGACGGGUCUGGCGAACGCAGGCCAGCGUUGUGCGCAAAUUAAAUUUGAGAGCUUGCGAGUAAACUUCAUUUAUGCAUGCAGUAAAUUAAUAACAGAGCAGAUAUUUUGUUCGCCUGAAGAAAUACCUACAUGUCAAGACUCAGAAAUGACUGCACUCAGAAAUACGCCGCGUUCCUACACGGAUGUCUUCUCUCCCUCUCACCAACUUUCCAGUUUGCUCUCCAAAAUCCAUUUUGCCCUCGCUACUGCUUAAUAUCAUUUUAUAACAGGUGGAAAUUCUAGCCAAUGAACAGGGUGAGUAUAAUUUGUGGAACAUUCCAUCAGGAAUCCAACAAACAACGCAUUCAAAGUUGUAUAGUGGACAAUUACGAUACCGGUUAGGGAGUGGGCUAUUUCAUUAAGUAUUUCACUCACAAAGUUUAUUCCGAAAAAUGUCUGUCCUCACUCUGGUAGCCUAUGGCAAAACAUUAAUAAUAAACUACGCGGUGAGUUGAUGCCUAUUCGGCAGCUAGUUAGUUAGGUGAAUUGAUCGUGUUACUUUCUAUGCGUUGUUUGUUGGAAAUCUUGUACUUUACGAAGUUUUUGGAACAGAUUCCUGUUGGAACGUUCCACAAAUUAUACCCACCAAAUGAACAUAGCCUGUGCUGUACCAGUCCACUAAAAUCCACUUGGUCGGGUUGUUGGACCAAUCACGGAUCGACUACAGUGAAAGAUGAACGAUGGCUGACAAUAAUGAAGAAACAAAUUCAAUAGUUUUUCAGUAGAGGUACUAGCUAUUCAACUAUGAUUUCAAUAUUGAAAUUGAAGUAAGUAGUUAUUUGGUCUUCUGUUAUUAAAGCAGGUAACGUUAGCUAACGGUUAGCUAGCUAGCUAACGUUUAACCAUGUGGUUUAGUUUAAUAUACCGUCUCUGGUUUAACUAAGAGCUUUGUACCUAAAUUGAGUAGGGAUUUAGUAAAGGAGGACUUGGAAGACCAGCAUGACGGGGUGGCAGAAGAGGGGUGAGAACCGACAGGGGAAGAGGUCCACUGUCACCAAAAUAUGGUGGUGAAGUUGUUCUCAGCUCAGCUGACAGAGACGGGAGAUACUGUUCCAAGUAGGUUACCUUGGCUCUCCUGUAUGCACAGCACUCUGGAGACUUCCUGCAGUUGUUCUCAGGAGAAAUGUCAGUGUGUGUAUGUGUAGAGAAUACGUCAGGCUUCUUUCUACUUCAUCGCCCAGGACCACUACACCAAUGAGGCAGAGGACGCCAAGUUUGGACCAAUGAUGCUGAUGCCCCACUGUAAGAACCUGGAGAUCUUCAUUGGUUCUGAGGGAGCUGACUUGGUCACAAACGGCGCUUGGGACACCUUUUAGCGUUACCACUGUCUGGAGAACAGCCAGAGGGUGGUCGAGACAUCUGCUGCAACUUCGUCUUCAGUGUGUCAGCUCUGCUACACCUGGGAGCUAAAGGUAUGGCACCACACUCCCAACAGUCAUGUAUGCUUAAACAUACUCGAAUGCCACAGGAGUAAAAAGCUACGGGAUGGAGCUGGAGAAAUGUUGAACACUCUCAAAUUCAUAGACACAGCUAUGGAUGCAAGGACUGACCAUCGUGCCUCCUAAAACCCCCCGGCCCAAGGUUCUUCGCCUCAGACCUCCUCCAAUGGGUUUUGAGAAGGAGGCAUGCAGAGGAAGUGAGGAGUUGAGCAGAUAUUAAUUGGGACAGAGCUCAUGUCAUUGUUUUAGGUGGGAACAUGUUGAAUGAUACAUUUAUUCUGUUUGCACUUAUAACUUGUGCUCUUUCCACAGAUGGCUCUGGCUUGCUGAUAACAUCUGAUCUGAGACUCCCUGUGCGAUUUGACUCCUGUAAUAUAUUCAAUAAAACUUCCCAUGCCAAAUUGAAAUAAUUUUAGAUUCUACAAUUGAUAGACAAUAGUAGUUCCCAAUCAGACAAUUAUUGUAAACAAAUCUGUUUCACUCAGUGCAAUGUUUGGUGAAUGCAUGUUGUUUUGUCCUUUGAAUGCAACCAUCAUCGAGUCCAUCCUCACUUCCUCGAUCACUGCAACGGAUUGUCCGGUCUGCUGAGAGGGUCAUUGGCUACCGCCUUUCCUCCAUCGAGGUCCUGCAUAACCCCUUCAUGCCCGACCCCCUUUCACACCCUCUUCCAAAAAGUCCCAUCUGGCAAACGGUUCAGGUCAAUCACAAGCAAAACCUCCAGCCACCUGAACAGUUUCUUCCCCUGUGCCUUGGCCCUCACCAACCAUCCACCUGGUUCACGAUUAACCUCUCAUCUGUGGACUUUGCACUAUUCAUCCACAGACGAUGCACCUUGGACUAUUAUCCUAGAACUGCAAAUUGCUCUUUGGACUCUCCUCACAUCUCGUACAUGUGUAGCACAUGGGGAUGUGUGAAACUUAAUCCUCAGCCUUAAGUGUCCCGUUUGUGUCGCCUUAUUACAGGGAUGACACUAGUCACCUUUUGGCGAAAUUCGCCUUUUUGAAUCCAAAAUAGGUGACCUAUGUGAUACGUGUAGAUCCGAUGGGCUUUGGAUGACUACUGGCUGUAAGUGAACGAGUGAUGCGCAUUUUUUGGGGGUCCAUUCCUCCUGUUAUUAACUAGCUUUUGAGGUGGUGCGAUUGGCUAAGACGCUUGAGAGACGUGUGUGAGGCAGAGGUCCUGAGUUUCCGCCAGGUAUGGGCCGACUCUGGAGGAAGAGGUACUCGCCAAGCAAGCAGCGUGACGUCCUUUACACAUGCAUCAUUUAUAAUGUAGCUUAUUGUGCUCAUAGUGUACACACUGUAUGUGGAUUUGCAUCUAUGUAUAUUGUGUUUGUGGUAGCACCAUUUCACAUAGUCAAAUUCCUAUACGUGCUAAUUUAUUUGGUGAAUUAAAGCUGAUUGACAUGUUUUAA